AUGUGUCCUACAUGUGUCGUACAUGUGACCUACAUGUGUCCUACAUGUGUCCUACAUGUGUCCUACAUGUGUCCUACAUGUGUCCUACAUGUGUCCUACAUGUGUCCUACAUGUGUCGUACAUGUGUACAUGUCGUACAUGUGUCCUACAUGUGUCCUACAUGUGUCCUACAUGUGUCCUACAUGUGUCCUACAUGUGUCGUACACGUGUCCUUCAUGUGUCCUACAUGUGUCCUACAUGUGUCCUACAUGUGUCCUACAUGUGUCGUACACGUGUCCUUCAUGUGUCCUACAUGUGUCCUACAUGUGUCUACAUGUGUCCUACAUGUGUCCUACAUGUGUACAUGUGUCCUACAUGUGUCCUACAUGUGUCCUACAUGUGUCCUACAUGUGUCCUACAUGUGUCCUACAUGUGUCCUACAUGUGUCCUACAUGUGUCGUACAUGGGUCGUACAUGUGUCCUACAUACAUGUGUCCUACAUGUGUCCUACAUGUGUACAUGUCCGACAUGUGUCCUACAUGUGUCGUACAUGUGUCCUACAUGUGUCCUACAUGUGUCCUACAUGUGUUCUACAUGUGUCGUACAUGGGUCCUACAUGUGUCCUACAUGUGUCCUACAUGUGUCCUACAUGUGUCGUACAUGUGUCCGACAUGUGUCCUACAUGUGUCCUACAUGUGUCGUAUACGUGUCCUUCAUGUGUCCUACAUGGGUCCUACAUGUGUCCUACAUGUGUCCUACAUGUGUCCUACAUGUGUCCUACAUGUGUCCUACAUGUCCUACAUGUGUCCUACAUGUGUCCUACAUGUGUCCUACAUGUGUCCUACAUGUGUCCUACAUGUGUCCUACAUGUGUCCUACAUGUGUCGUACAUGUGUCCGACAUGUGUCCUACAUGUGUCCUACAUGUGUCCUACAUGUGUCCUACAUGGGUCCUACAUGUGUCCUACAUGUGUCCUACAUGUGUCCUACAUGUGUUCUACAUGGGUCGUACAUGUGUCCUACAUACAUGUGUCCUACAUGUGUCGUACAUGUGUCCUACAUGUGUCCUACAUGUGUCGUACAUGUGGGCGUGGCUCAUCGGCACAGUGGAAGAAGAAAAUGACUUGAAUUUGAAGUUUGUUCAACUUAUCAAUUCUCUCAUACUGAACAACUGUUAA
rnacentral:lncRNA from 1 species